ACUAUAUAUUUUAGUAUAUGAAAUUUUACUUUGAGAAAAUUAGAGUGCUUAAAGCAGGCAUAUGCCUUGAAUACUCCAGCAUGGAAUAAUAUUAAAGAUUUUUAUCUUUCUUAUUGGUUCUAAGAUAAGAAUAAUGAUUAAUAGGGACAGUUGGGGGCAUUUGUAUUUAACAGUCAGAGGUGAAAUUCUUAGAUUUGUUAAAGACAAACUAAUGCGAAAGCAUUUGCCAAGGAUGUUUUCAUUAAUCAAGAACGAAAGUUAGGGGAUCGAAGACGAUCAGAUACCGUCGUAGUCUUAACCAUAAACUAUGCCAACUAGAGAUUGGAGGUUGUUCCUUACUCCUUC
rnacentral:rRNA from 1 species